rnacentral:rRNA from 1 species
AGUAACUGCGAGUGAAGCGGGAAGAGCUCAAAUUUUGAAUCUGGCGGUCCUUGGCCGUCCGAGUUGUAAUCUAGAGAAGCGUUUUCCGCGCUGGACCGUGUAUAAGUCUCCUGGAAGGGAGCGUCGUAGAGGGUGAGAAUCCCGUCUUUGACACGGACUACCAGUGCUUUGUGAUGCGCUCUCGACGAGUCGAGUUGUUUGGGAAUGCAGCUCAAAAUGGGUGGUAAAUUCCAUCUAAAGCUAAAUACAGGCGAGAGACCGAUAGCGAACAAGUACCGUGAGGGAAAGAUGAAAAGAACUUUGGAAAGAGAGUUAAACAGUACGUGAAAUUGCUGAAAGGGAAACGCUUGAUGUCAGUCGCGUCGGCUGGGGAUCAACCUUGCUUCUCGCUGGGUGUACUUCCCGGUCGACGGGUCAGCAUCAGUUUCGGUCGCCGUACAAGGGCGAGGGGAACGUGGCACUCUUCGGGGUGUGUUAUAGCCUUUCGUCGUAUGCGGUGGUUGGGACUGAGGAACUCAGCACGGCUUCGGUCUGUGCUCAGGAUGCUGGCAUAAUGGCCUUAAGCGACCCGUCUUGAAACACGGACCAAGGAGUCUAACAUGCCUGCGAGUGUUUGGGUGACAAACCCGAGCGCGUAAUGAAAGUGAAAGUUGAGACCUCUGUCGUGGAGGGCAUCGACGCCCGGACCUGAGUCUUCGACGACGGAUCUGCGGUAGAGCAUGCAUGUUGGGACCCGAAAGAUGGUGAACUAUGCCUGAAUAGGGUGAAGCCAGAGGAAACUCUGGUGGAGGCUCGUAGCGAU